rnacentral:tRNA from 1 species
AGUGUAGUAUUAUAGUGGUGAGUAUUCUCGUCUGUCACACGGGUGACCCGGGUUCAACCCUCGGCAAUGAUG